UUGCGCCCCAAGCCACUAGGCCGAGGGCACGUCUGCCUGGGUGUCACGCAUCGUUGCCCCCCACCCCUCCCCCUCGUUCUUGAGCGGGGCUCGGAUGUGGGGGCGGAUAUUGGCCUCCCGUGUGCUCUUUGCUCGCGGUUGGCCCAAAUUCCAGUCCACGGCGAUUGGUGCCGCGACGAUCGGUGGUGUUACAAUGCCUCUCGAGAAUGCGUCGCGCACCCUCCGGGACUCGAGGACCCUAGCGCUCCGCGCUCUCUAAGCGACCCCAGGUCAGGCGAGACUACCCGCUGAGUUUAAGCAUAUCAAUAAGCGGAGGAAAAGAAACUUACCAGGAUUCCCC
rnacentral:rRNA from 1 species